rnacentral:rRNA from 1 species
UACGGAGGGUGCGAGCGUUGUCCGGAAUCACUGGGCGUAAAGGGCGCGUAGGUGGCCUGUGGAAGUCUGCGGUGAAAGCCCGGCGCUCAACGCCGGGUCUGCCGUGGAUACUCUCGGGCUCGAGCUUACUAGAGGCAGAUGGAAUUCCUGGUGUAGCGGUGAAAUGCGCAGAUAUCAGGAGGAACACCGGUGGCGAAGGCGGGUCUCUGGGCCGAUACUGACGCUGAGGAGCGAAAGCGUGGGGAGCGAACAGG